rnacentral:rRNA from 1 species
UACAGAGGGUGCAAGCGUUAAUCGGAAUUACUGGGCGUAAAGCGCACGUAGGCGGAUCGUUAAGUCGGGGGUGAAAUCCUGGAGCUCAACUCCAGAACUGCCUUCGAUACUGGCGAUCUUGAGUCCGGAAGAGGUGAGUGGAACUCCUAGUGUAGAGGUGGAAUUCGUAGAUAUUAGGAAGAACACCAGUGGCGAAGGCGGCUCACUGGUCCGGUACUGACGCUGAGGUGCGAAAGCGUGGGGAGCAAACAGG